GCGGGCAGCAGGGAGGACAACGUGGAAAGGCAACGGCCAGGAGGAAAAGGCGGGAAACAGCGGGAAGGGAGGUUCGCCUCCCCACUCUUCCUGUGCCGACCUCCCACCUCACUUACAAAAAUCACCACCGACAUUUGGGAACCAUGCACGCUGACUGAAAGCAAAGCUCAGCUGACCUGUGGGGAGUCCCCUGGGCGCUGCCGCGGUGGUCGCCGUUGAGUCCAUCCGUGCCGCUGGGCCGAGGCAGCUGGAGAUGUGGUCAAUGGGCUUAUGGGCAUGGCUGUGGUACCCCAUCAUUCCCCCGCCCCACAUGACUCUGCUUUCCCAGCUGGACUGCUCACUUCAGACUUCCCUUAUGGAAGGAGUUGACAGAUAGAGCAAGCAAAAUACAGUGUGCCAGACACAGGUUUAUUUUAACACUGGGAAGGCUCCAUUCCUACUUAAACCCAACAGGGAACAGGGAGCGGUGUGCAGAGGAGGUGGCCUGCCCGUGAAGCCGGCCUUGGUGCUGGGACUGCAGGGAGAGGGCUGUGAGGAAGAACACAGGCUUCAUGCACAUUGCACAGAGGAGGAGAUUCAUGGGGACAGCAGGCACUGGUUAGCCACAGCGGGAAGGUUAUCGAAGACAAAACACAUUUCUACCCAAGUUCAAAUGACCCGUUAUGCCCACAGAGCUCGAUCCAGAAGCGCACAGUAGAGACGGAGUUUCACCGUGUUAGCCAGGAUGGUCUCGAUCUCCUGACCUCGUGAUCCACCUGCCUCGGCCUCCCAAAGUGCUGGGAUUACAGGCGUGAGCUUUUAAUAAAUAUAAAUACACAGGUAAUUUUAACACAUAUUCCUGAUGAAAUCAUUAUUAUUUGCAAUGCUUUCAUUCUGCUUUUUCUCUUAACAAUGGCAUAAACAUUUUUCAAGGUCAAUAAAUGUUUUUCAAAAUCACAUUUGUAUUAGUGGCUGUAUAGUUUUCUAUCAAAUGUGGAAGAAACUCAAUUUAUUUCUCCCUUUUGUUCUUGAACAUUUAAGAUCAUUGGUUCAUGGUUACUAAUCAUGUUACAACAAAUAUUUGUGUAUUCCAAAUUUUGCUCAUUCCUGGUUAUUUCCUUAGAUUUCCAGGUAUGGAAUAAUUAGGUUGAAGUGUUUGAAAUCUUUUUUUGUUUGUUUGUUUGUUUUGUUUUUGAGAUGUAGCUUCCCUCUGUUGCCCAGGCUGGAGUGCACUGGCAUGAUCUCAAUUCCCUCACUGCAACCUCUGCUGCCUGGUUCAAGUGACUCUCCUGCCUCAGCCUCCUGAAUAGCUGGGAUUACAGGUGCACACCACCAUGCCCGGCUAAUUUUUGUAUUUUUAGUAGAGACAGGGUUUCACCAUGUUGGCCAGGUGGGUCUCAAACUCCUGACCUCAGAUGGUCCUUCUGCCUUGGCCCCCCAAAGUGCUGGGAUUACAGGCGUGAGCCACUGCACCCUGCCGAAGUGUUUGAAAUCUUUAAGCAUCGUGGUAAAUAUUGAGUUUUGUCAAUAUUUAGAAAAGUUGCAUGAAUUUACAUGUCUUCCAGCCAUGUUUGAGAGCAUCUGAUUUGUCAGACCCUCACCAAAAAUGGGCUUUUAUCAAAACGUAAUAAAAAAAAUACAACUUUUCCAAUGACAAAA